UGGGGAAUCUUGCACAAUGGAGGAAACUCUGAUGCAGCGACGCCGCGUGAGCGAUGAAGCCCUUCGGGGUGUAAAGCUCUUUCGUCAGGGAAGAUAGUGACGGUACCUGGAGAAGCAGCUGCGGCUAACUACGUGCCAGCAGCCGCGGUAAUACGUAGGCAGCAAGCGUUGUUCGGAGUUACUGGGCGUAAAGGGUGUGUAGGCGGCCUUCUAAGUUUGGUGUGAAAUCUCCCGGCUCAACCGGGAGGGUGCGCCGAAGACUGGGGGGCUAGAGGAUGGGAUGGGAAAGUGGAAUUCCUGGUGUAGCGGUGAAAUGCGUAGAUAUCAGGAGGAACACCUGCGGUGUAGACGGCUUUCUGGACCAACCCUGACGCUGAGACACGAAAGCGUGGGUAGCAAACAG
rnacentral:rRNA from 1 species